rnacentral:rRNA from 1 species
CUAGUGGCGGACGGGUGAGUAACGCGUGGGUAACCUGACCUGUACAGGGGGAUAACACUUAGAAAUAGGUGCUAAAACCGCAUAAGCGCACAGUACCGCAUGGUACAGUGUGAAAAACUCCGGUGGUACAGGAUGGACCCGCGUCUGAUUAGCUGGUUGGAGGGGUAACGGCCCACCAAGGCGACGAUCAGUAGCCGGCCUGAGAGGGUGAACGGCCACAUUGGGACUGAGACACGGCCCAAACUCCUACGGGAGGCAGCAG